rnacentral:rRNA from 1 species
AUGGAAGGCCUCUUCCAUUCGGAUUUUGCACCUGGCCUUGCCUUGGCCAAUCAGGUGAGAUGCAGGUUUGUCUCCACGGUCCAUUUUUCUCCUUCUCGAGACUCUAAGGAAUUCUUUUUGGUGGUCUCUUUUUCCUCGGCUUCCUUUGCCCUCUCCGUGGAUUCGGUGGAUACUGCGCUCCAAUGUUGCAUUGGG